AGUAGAAUGGCCGAGUAUAGGCGAUAAACUGUAAAUUUAUAAACGAAAUUAUUUUCUUCUACUA
rnacentral:tRNA from 1 species